GAAAUGCAAUAAGUAGUGUGAAUUACAGAAUUUAGUAAAUCAUUAAAUCUUUAAACACACAUUGCGCCCUUUAGUAUUCUGUAAGGUAUACCUGUUUAAGCGUUAUUAAAAAACCUUUAAGCCCUGCUUAGUGUUAGGUGUUUGUCCUGCCCUAGUGCGUGGACUUGCCUUAAAACUAUUAGCAGCUAGUUUACUAGCUUUAGUGCAGCACAACGCGCUACAAGCACACUAAAUCUAGCCCCUAAAAGCCUCUUCUAAGUUUAACCUUAGAUUAGGUAGGAAUACCUGCUGAACUUAA
rnacentral:misc_RNA from 1 species